rnacentral:rRNA from 1 species
UACGUAGGUGGCGAGCGUUGUCCGGAAUUACUGGGUGUAAAGGGCGUGUAGGCGGGUUAUCAAGUCAGAUGUGAAAUUCCAGGGCUCAACCCUGGCGCUGCAUCUGAAACUGAUGAUCUUGAGUGCUGGAGAGGAAAGCGGAAUUCCUAGUGUAGCGGUGAAAUGCGUAGAUAUUAGGAGGAACACCAGUGGCGAAGGCGGCUUUCUGGACAGUAACUGACGCUGAGGCGCGAAAGCGUGGGGAG